GUGCAAAAAGAAGAAACGUCUACAACAGGACCCGAUAACGCGCGCACGUUCGGUACCACAGGGCGCCGGUCCGAACGACCCUGUUCGGAGUGGGACUCCCUCGAGCCGAACAAAAUUGUUCGGACAUGAUUCCUUAACCCCCGAACUACCACGUGGCGAAACCCCCCUCUUGGUCCACACGGCUUCUCCCCUCGACCCCCGAUCCAAAAACGCCCUGCGUCUCCCACCUCCACCCCCGGUCCCCACCAUAGUUCCCCUUCCCCUCCAUACCCUUAUUCAUGGAAUUUGCCAUGGCAAGAUCGGAGGAACCCUACAGAAACUAAGCUACUUGAAGUGAAAUCAGGAAGCUAAUGUAUCAAAAGGGAUUGAUGUAGAUGCUGUGUGGGAUUUGAGAAAAUUGCCAACCCUGUUAAAGGUACAAUGCCAUGAGUAUAUGAAACAGGAGGGGGAUGGCAAUCUGCUUCUUUACACUACAAAAAAUGCCAUCACUACGAAGUUUACACUAUGAAAAAGUUGCCGUGAAGUUUACACACAUAGAGAUACAAGAUGGAAAACAAAAGAAGAGGUUUACAAUACGAAACUUGCCAUCAUGGCAACAAU